rnacentral:rRNA from 1 species
CUACGGGAUGCAGCAGUGGGGAAUAUUGCACAAUGGGCGCAAGCCUGAUGCAGCCAUGCCGCGUGUAUGAAGAAGGCCUUCGGGUUGUAAAGUACUUUCAGCGGGGAGGAAGGGAGUAAAGUUAAUACCUUUGCUCAUUGACGUUACCCGCAGAAGAAGCACCGGCUAACUCCGUGCCAGCAGCCGCGGUAAUACGGAGGGUGCAAGCGUUAAUCGGAAUUACUGGGCGUAAAGCGCACGCAGGCGGUUUGUUAAGUCAGAUGUGAAAUCCCCGGGCUCAACCUGGGAACUGCAUCUGUUACUGGCAAGCUUGAGUCUCGUAGAGGGGGGUAGAAUUCCAGGUGUAGCGGUGAAAUGCGUAGAGAUCUGGAGGAAUACCGGUGGCGAAGGCGGCCCCCUGGACGAAGACUGACGCUCAGGUGCGAAAGCGUGGGGUGCAAACAGGAUUAGAUACCCUUGUAGUC